rnacentral:rRNA from 1 species
GAUGAACGCUAGCGGCAGGCCUAACACAUGCAAGUCGAGGGGUAUAGUUCUUCGGAACUAGAGACCGGCGCACGGGUGCGUAACGCGUAUGCAAUCUACCUUUUACAGGGGAAUAGCCCAGAGAAAUUUGGAUUAAUGCCCCAUAGUGUUAUAGAAUCGCAUGGUUUUAUAACUAAAGUUCCAACGGUAAAAGAUGAGCAUGCGUCCCAUUAGUUAGUUGGUAAGGUAACGGCUUACCAAGACAAUGAUGGGUAGGGGUCCUGAGAGGGAGAUCCCCCACACUGGUACUGAGACACGGACCAGACUCCUACGGGAGGCAGCAGUGAGGAAUAUUGGACAAUGGGCGCAAGCCUGGUCCAGCCAUGCCGCGUGCAGGAAGACGGUCCUAUGGAUUGUAAACUGCUUUUGUACAGGAAGAAACACUCCCUCGUGAGGGAGCUUGACGGUACUGUAAGAAUAAGGAUCGGCUAACUCCGUG